AUGUAAUGCCCCAAAGCCGCCCACCCAUUUUCCCUAUUCUUCUUCCCGUCCUGCCGCAGCCAACCGCAGUCAGCCGCCCCAUCCGUUCGCACAGCAACUGCCGUCGGCCAUCUCCAUCUUCUCUUUUCCUCUCCGUUCCGUCCAAACCCAGCCGGACGUCGCUGCAACCGUCGGCCGCCAUCUCUGUUCGCGAAGCAAGGCCGCCGCGUGAACCUGUAACCGCCGGCUGUCUCCCCUCUCCUUUCUCCUCUGUUUUCAGCCCAGCCGCCGCCGAUUUCUUCUCCUCCGUCGUCUGCACUGCCGCGCGACUCUCCGGCCAUCUGUAUACGGUCUCUCCGUCGCACGUCAUCUCUUCGCAAAGCCACUGCUCGAUUUCUUUCGCGAAGAUUUGGGUUCGUUCUUCAUAGACUUCAACGUGGUUAAGGAGCUUAACAAAUUUGAAGGUAAGGGAUUUUCUACUGGACUCACUUAUGAUUGUGAAUUGCAUGUCUGAAUGAUUAUCUUUGACUGAGUAAAGAUGUUGAGAUGAUACUUAUGUUUAUACACGUAUGGGUGUAGAUUCGGUGCUGAAUGUACACUGUGGAUUGACUGAAAAUAUAUAUACAUAUGCAUAGGAAUUGAAGUAGACUUAA